UACAGAGGUCUCAAGCGUUGUUCGGAUUCAUUGGGCGUAAAGGGUGCGUAGGCGGCGCGGUAAGUCGGGUGUGAAAUACUCUAGCUCAACUAGAGGGGUGCCAUUGAUACUGAUGAGCUUGAGUACAGAUGAGGUAGGCGGAAUUGACGGUGUAGCGGUGAAAUGCUUAGAUAUCGUCAAGAACACCUAUAGCGAAGGCAGCUUACUAGGCUGUAACUGACGCUGAGGCACGAAAGUGUGGGGAUCAAACAGG
rnacentral:rRNA from 1 species